GCAGAGUAGAGGCUUGUGCGUUAAGUGCCGGGUGAACAGGGAGUUGUCAUCCGGACGAAAAGGAAACUUGCGGUACAGGCUUCGCAUCCCGCUGC
rnacentral:ncRNA from 1 species